rnacentral:tRNA from 1 species
GCCUUCGUAGCGUAGUGGUCAGCACACUGGGCGCGUAAUCCAGAGGUCUGUGGUUCGAGUCCCGGUGAAGGCG